UUUUCUGGGAGUCUAGGUUGGUAGAUUGGAGCAACGGGCAAGAUGCCUAUGGGACAGUGCUGCCCGGGACCCACACCUGCCCCAGGCACCUGAGGGCAACAGCCACGGCUGUUCUGGGUCCAGUGAGUCUAGCAUGAGGAUGCACAUCUUUUUGUUCCUUUUGAUGGGAUUGGGAGGUUUGACACCAUGUCCAGCUUAAGGGAUCUCGCUUCUCCCAGCACAGCAUCAUCUACUAUGUUAAUGGAGUUUCGGCUUGCUUGCUGGCUUGGUGGUUUUGACAGUGGUUUUGAAAGAUUCUGAAUCCUCUAGGUUUGUAGUUCUUUUGUCUUUCAGGAACCCAAAUCCCUCUCCCAUACUUUUCCUUUUCCCUUCACCACGCAAUUGCCAAACUGCUCUUCUUCCUUUGUUUUUGCCUUUUCUACCCAGGAGUCACACACGUUACAUCCUGAUUGCCUGCUGAGUGACAUGUGUCCUCCUUGAAUGAGGCCAAAAUAUAUCUUCUCCUCUCCUGGUAGUUCUCUUCCUAGUCCCCAAGUUCCUGCUGGUGGGUGGUAUCUCUGCCAUCCUUGUCUACAUGAAGUUUUGGACCUGAUGGUAAGUUCUGGGGGAAGGAGGGCAGGAAAUGAUCUGUCCUAGAAGAUACAAGGUCAGCAGUGGGGGCUGCCCUCAGGUCACACAGGGUCAGGGCCCUCGUGCAGUUACGAGAAGGUGACACACCUCCCUCAAUACCCUCAGGAGGAUCCUGGAUCCCUCUCAGUGGUGC
rnacentral:lncRNA from 1 species